rnacentral:lncRNA from 1 species
GAAGGGGGCGGCUGGAAAAAUAGGAAAAGAUGGCAGACCAGGGGAACCUGGCGAGUCUGGUAAACAAGGCGAGACGGGGCCGCCGGGCCGGGAUGGACUCAGAGGACUUCCUGGAUUCAAGGGCCAUAGAGGUGAACCAGGACCACCUGGAGGAAAGGGAGAAGAUGGCAAAGCGGGUAACUCAGGACGGGAAGGCCAACCUGGAAAAGAUGGCAGCACUGGACCUCCAGGAUCCGAGGGCACCAUGGGGCCUAGAGGAGAGCGGGGCUCACCAGGAGAGUCAGGACCAUCAGGAAAGUCGGGAACUCCAGGCACUCCUGGUACUGCUGGAACUAAGGGAGAGAAUGGAAACCCAGGUUUGCCAGGAUUCCCUGGUCCUAAAGGGCCCUCAGGUCCUGCUGGUCCCAUUGGUCCAGAGGGAAAACAGGGAAUGCCAGGCAAACAUGGGGACCGUGGAACUAAGGGUGAAAAGGU